rnacentral:rRNA from 1 species
UAGCAUAUGCUUGUCUCAAAGAUUAAGCCCUGUUUGUCUAAGUACAAGCCUAACUAAGGUGAAACCGCAAAUGGCUCAUUAAAUCACACCUAAUCUACGGGAAUGUUAGCAGUUACUUGGAUAACUGAGGUAAUUCUUGAGCUAAUACAUGCAAAAAAUCUCGACUCACGGAGAGAUGCUUUUAUUAAAUCAAAACCAAACAAACUCGUCUGUAUAUUUGGUGACUCGAAAUAACUUUGGGCUGAUCGCAUUGCCUUGUGCAGGCAACAUUUCCUUCGAAGGUGUGCCCUAUCAACUGUCAACUGUGGUAUAGACAACCACAGUGGUUUUAACGGGUAACGGGGAAUCAGGGUUCGAUUCCGGAGAGGGAGCCUUAAAAACGGCUCCCACAUCCAAGGAAGGCAGCAGGCACGCAAAUUACCCAAUGAACGAAGUUCGAGGUAGUGACAAAAAAUAACAAUACAAGACUCUUCCAAGGCCUUGUAAUUGGAAUGAGUACACUUUAAAACCGUUCCCGAGAAUCUAUU